rnacentral:siRNA from 1 species
UGCGGUAUAUGUGCCUAUAGCA